rnacentral:tRNA from 1 species
GGGUCUUUAGCUCAGCUGGUAGAGCAGCGGACUCUUAAUCCGUUGGUCGCGGGUUCGAAUCCCUCAAGACCCACCA